UUCCCCCAAAUCAUUUCCAUUUCUCCCAAAUCACAAAGUAAGAGGAAAAUCGUCGCUUUCUUCAUCGCCAAAUUUGUGGUCCUCCAAAGUCGGCCGACAUCUGGACCACUGACUGGCGCCGUUCUUCUGACGUAGUGUGAAGACGAUAGCACACCGAAACCCAACAUGGAAAUAGUAUUUGAAGACAAUGUCGAAUCGUCGAUGCUGGGGCAAAGUUGUAGACUAGAAUGAGAGGAAGGAAUUUCGGAAUUUGUCACGACUGUAGAAGUAACACUUGCUACUUUGGACAAUGUCAAACAAAACGUGGAUGCCCUUCAUGUAAACACGGAGUUUGGAAAUGUUUUGAGGUAGAACGGAAUACUUAAAACAAAGGGCGUUUGUUCUUCACGUGUAGUAAUGACUGUAUAUAUUUCGAUUGGGUGAAAAAUGAAAUUUUGAGUGGGGAAUCAAGUACCGUUAACAAAGAUGUGAAUCAUGAGCCCAACAAGGAAUAUGAAGCUUGCCAAGAAUCUUCAACAGCCUAGCUCGAAUUACCAAGAAAUGAGAUGUCGACAUAACAUUGCACGUAACAUUUCACAAAGGAAAGGGAUUUGGAGAAUGCGAUGGGAAGGGAAAGGGACUGACGUAAAUGGGUGAUGCCAAUUUAGGAUCCAAUAUGCUCAUGCUUCCAGAAUUUUGUGACUCAUUACAAGUAGAGGCUAAACGAAUAACAUGCACGAAAUGGCAGUGCUUCCAUUACUCGAUUUUGACGUCCACAUGUGUUCUACUUCUAAUUUUAUCCAUUCCAUUAUAGCACUAACCACUCUUCAUCAUCUGCAGCAAGGUCUGCCACCUCCGAGAAAAGCCUGGCACAUAUCGUCAUAUCUUACUUGUCCCGGAGUACUUCCUAGCUCGUCAUAAUUGACUUUGACCCUCGUGUGUACUCUUUUGACAUCUCUCCCCCAUCUUCGUAGUAUAUACCUAUUAGGCAUUGACGUGAUGUCAUUGCGGAUCAAGAUUGUGAUCACAUGCCUGCAAAUGAUUCCUCGAAUCUCGAAUACGUGGCAACUAAAAGUGAAUUCGCAAGUAUCUCUCCGAAAUGAGACGCAAAAUGUUCUUUUCUUCUGGUGCUCAUGAACCUAGUAGUUCGUCGAAAAACAUUCAUCCUUAUCAGAGAUGACAUCACGAUAGACCUUCUCAGUGAACUCAUUUUGUACUUCCUUGAACUUUGAAAUGGUGUACACUAAUUGAAAUUGUUUCUCCAUUUCGAAAGUAGUUGCACAUGAUACCAUUUGGGAAAAUGACUUGAAAUUAGCCCGAAUCUCUUUCUCAACCUUAUUCUUAAGUGCUCUUUUAUACUAUUCGACGAUUUGCUUCAACGAGACUUUAAAUGCAUAUAUCCAUCGAAAAAUGCUUUCAUACUCUCAUUUCGUUGUGUUGUUGAUAUCCCUGCAUCCCUGCCCAAAAAGUGGUCUUCAAAAACAAGGAACCCAACGACUUGUUAUCUUAUAAUCCCAAAAACUAGUUAUUAUUAUGCAAGUCAUACAAAUCGAGCAUUAUCCUCCAAUUGUGCUCGAAUUCUUCAACAAAUUGUGAAUCCUAUACUUAAUCACAUAUAGCAAAAAAUAUGGAGACUUUAUGAACAUUGUAGCCAAACGUUUCUUACAACUUCUUCAAAAUGUGUUAUAAAUACCAUCUGUACCUCAUAUCUGAAAAAACUAUCUCAAUUGUAUUUUGCAUUGCUCUAUCUUGAUCGGUGAUUAUUCCACUGGGAGGUUUGGCGUGCAUGCAUUCGAGCUAUGUCCUAAACAACCGCACAAAAGUCCAUGUGUCUUCAUUCGAUAAUAGUCCACAACUAAGCAGUGUUAAUUGGUCAUGAUGAUUUACGUCAACAAAAGGGGCGAACAGCAUGUCGUACUUAUUAGUGAGAUACGUAGUAUCAAAAGUGACAGCGUCACCAAGCUCUUUGUAAGAUUGCCUACAUCUAUUAUCUGUCCAAAAUACAUUCUUUAGUCGUGAUCGACGUCUAACUCCAUACUGAAGUAAAAUCCCAUAGCACCGUGCUUGCAUCUUUGAAAAGUAUGCUUGUAUUGCGAUGGAAUCUCCUUCACCAAGUUGUAGUCGUCUCACUUGUUCUAUAUAGUUCUGACAAUACUUCUCCAUGAACGUCAUGUUCUCAUAUCUACCUGUUGCCACAACUGUGGAUUUAAAAUUCUUGUGCAAGGGGAUUCCUGCUAUAUCAUUCAAUUUGAGAUUUCGUUUUGCACUUGCAGCCAACUUUCGGUUGCAUCGAUACAAUCUUGACUUAGAAGGACUUGUCGUAUGAUUAUGUUCAAGGUACAGUUUGUUAAUUCUCUAUAUUCCAAGACCAUCUAAUGAUGCAGAUAUUCUUGCAUUACAAUUUGUCUGACUUGUUGGUUGCGGCUUCAAAGAAUUGCCUGUAGUAUAAAUUCUUUGACCUUUUAUAACUACAAUUGAACGUCACAUAUCUCAUAACUCCGUCCUUUCCCUUUUUCGAAUUCCAUUUUCUCACUGGAAAACAUACGGCAUAAGUAUAGCUUUUAUAAAAGUCCAACAUUUAUUCUUCAUUAUUAAACAUCAUACCUACCUCAGGCUUAGUCACAACAUCUCCUCCUAAUUUUUCGUUGUCCAAUGUAUUCAAAUUUGCCACUAUAUUUUCAUUAUACAUUCUACAAUGAAAUCAUGAUUCUCAUCUUC